rnacentral:lncRNA from 1 species
GAAUUAAAUAGCGAUAUUAAAAAGGGGUACAAAAAAAAGCAUAUCCUUCAAUUACCCUAAAAUUUUUACAUCGUAAUUUCGCUAGUUUUUCACAUCAAAAUCCGUAAAGAAAAGGGGUGUCCAAAGUAGGGCAAAAAAUUGUACCCAUUUUAAAGUAGGGGUCUCAAUUUUUUAUAAGGUUUUUCCUUGCAUGGCCGGUAGAAUUAGAAAUUGGAAAAGAUUCUGUUUUAAAGUAAAUAUUCAUUCAACUAUCAAGAAUAGCUGAAUCCUUAUAUAUGUAACCCCUAUAAAAAUAUCAAUAUGUGUCAAUAAAUUGUAAAAUUAUA